rnacentral:rRNA from 1 species
AACGGCCGCGGUAUCUUAACCGUGCAAAGGUAGCAUAAUCAUUUGCCUAUUAAUUGUAGGCUAGAAUGAAGGGGUUAACGAAAUAAAAACUGUCUCAAUUAGUCACCUAAAAAUUAUUAUCUACUUGAAGAAAAGUAGAUAAACUCGAAGGACAAGAAGACCCUAUAGAGCUUAAUUUUAACUAUAGAACUAAACUAUACAAAUAUUCGGUUGGGGCGACCCGGGGCUAAAUAAUCACCCCCUACAUAAAAGAUAAAUUAAUCAAAUAAUUGACCCUUUAAAGAUCAUAAGACCAAGCUACCUUAGGGAUAACAGGCUAAUCCCACUCAAGAGUCCUUAUCAACAGUGGGGUUUGGCACCUCGAUGUUGGCUUAGG